UCCCCUGGACCUCUCCACCUUUUGGCGUGUUGGACAGAAGACAGCAUCCCCCACUGAGCUGAACUUCACAUUAAGCAGCAAGGGAUCAGCUAGAAGUGCUAAAUCACAGCUACAGAGCUGGAGGUGGUGAGGAAUUCAAAAUGCCCAGAAAUCAAGUGCCAGGGCAAGGGUCAGAAGAAAGGGUUGGAAUUAAAAAGAAAUUAUAGCUGGCACAUCCAAGGAGAAACACCAUGUUGCAGGUUCAGGAGAGAAGGGAGAGCCCCACUCAAGAGGAAGAGGGUGCAGCAUGCUGUGGUUUAGAGCUUAAGCGCUUCCAAAUGGUGAAACUGAGUUACCAUAGCACCCACAUGCUCAAGCAAUCAGACCUAUCUCAGUGCUAAACCACAACUUCUCUAGUGCAGCCGAGAAGUUUCCCUAUUCAACUCCUUUUCACCAAAUUUGCAUUUGUAAUUAUUUUUAGUUAUACUGGUCCAUUAAUAUGGUACAGCAGGGGAUGACAAUCUUUGGGAAUACAAGUUUGCUUUGCAGGCGAUAUUUGUCUCAGUGUGAAUUACGUCUGCAAGAGGGAGGAAUAUCAAAUCCUGAUGUAAUAGCUACCUCAGCCGUGAGAUGUUGGCUAUUAUCCAUGGUUGUCAAAAACACCUAUAUGUGAGGAAUCAAAGGAGUUACCUACUCAGACUACGCGCUUGCAGCUCUUCAUGUGAAGCUCUUACAAUGUGAUUUAUUGAUGCUGUGAUAUCUGCUUGGCAAUUCUGUGUUACAUGCAAAAGAAAAACCAUGUCAGUGUUUGCUUUGCCUUCUGCAUGUUUUUGGUAUUUGUGCAUGUACAAGACAAGGCUAAGAGCCAGAAUUAAGUCGAUACUCUGUUAAAUAUAGCUUUUGUAAAGUCUCA